rnacentral:sRNA from 1 species
CUUGAUCACAAGAAGAGUUCCAAUUCCACCAUAUCCCC